rnacentral:lncRNA from 1 species
GUUUAUUGUUGAACUGUAUUUUGAAUUGUUACAUGUAUUUAGGUUCUCGUGUUGGUUUGAUAUACAUGUAUACUCAACAUAGAUACCAGGAUUAAAAUUGUGUGUGCCAGGUGAAUGUUACAUAUACAAAAGAUUUAAACCCAAUUAAUGUAUAAUUGUAAACCAACUUCUGUUUGCAGGCUCUUUUUGCUUUAGCCUUUUCUGGAAGACUUUUUAAGGUCUUUCCUCUUCCCGAGGAAAGACCUUAUUGUUUUUCUAAUGUUUUUUUUCUUUUUUUUUUCCUUCCAGCAUUUGUUUGGCACGCCCUCCUACCGCUUCUAUUGGAGUUAUCAAUACCAAAUUUGAACCAUCGAUAGACCUCAUCAUGAACUUUUACCAGAUGAACUUUUGUAGGAUUUCAUCAUCCCCUUUAGAAGUUAUCUCCCUUUUAUUGAUUUUUUUCAACAUGGCCCCCCCUAAAUGUUUUAAAAGAUAUCAUGACCUUAUUUGGACAAUAGGUAGAUCUCAUCAUGAUGUAUUACCAUAUGAGGCUGCAUAGGAUUUCAUCAUCCCCUUUGAGAGUUAUAUCCCCUUGAAGCAAUUUCUUUUAUUUGUAUUUUUCUUUAAAAGUAUUAGAGAUAGAAUCGAUUUGAAAAUGGCAAA